rnacentral:lncRNA from 1 species
GUAAGACGCCACCUGAUCUGUGAGUCUGUGCACGGGGGCUUUCCAGGAAUAGUGCUCCAAGUAGCAGUACAGCAGGGAUUAGCAGAAGCGUAGUCAAGGAAAGCCAAAGUCAGGGGAAUCCAGAGAUCAGAGUAGUCCAGGAGGAAAGCCAAGGUCAGAAGCUGGAAUCAGACAGGAAAUACUGGAACGCAGAUAUAGCAAGACAGGAACCAAACAAGGGAACCAGAGUCAAUGAACUGACACUGCCCUCAGGGAGAGGCAGUGUCUUUUACCUGGCUAAUUGGUGAUCAGCCACACGUGUGCUGAGAUCGUUGGAGCAGCCACAGAAUAACGUCCAGCCCCCAGUGUUGGGUACAAGGCAAGAUAGACUUCUGGCUAUCUUUCGAGCUGAUAUGGUGGCUCAGAGGCAAAAUAGCAGCCCCAGGACUGCAAAGUACCCUGGUUAAAGUCCGUCACCGGGCACUUCUGGGGCGACCUUGUCUGGCCGUCGGGAUGUCACGGUGAGAACCGUGACAGUACCCUCCCUUCAAGAACGCCCUCCGGGCGUGAACAGGUUCUUCUUGGAAAUAGUACUCCUCAUCUUCGGUCUCAGAUCACUAAGAUAGUCUUUGUAAUUACAGUCUCCAGAGCGGAGUCCCUUUACAGCCUGGGACUUUAUGGUACCAGUUUCGGGUACUAAUGGAAAGAGGUCAAGGUUAUUCAUGGAUUUGGUGGAGGCGGUAAGUACCUUGAUCCCAGGAGUCAUUUUCUCUGAACUUUUUUUUCUUAGGUGAGUCACCAGGAGCAGAGUUCACGGCUUUCAAAGCCCUUUCAAACGUUUCCAGAUCUGUUCUGUGGACCUUGGUACCAGGUGCAAUCCGCAGGUAGUUCUCCUUUGGGCAGACAGGAAGUGGUGAUGGUACCAGUUUUAACAGGAGAGUCUUCUGGAGGUGGUGAAUUCUCAUGAUCACCGAUUAUGUGUUCUUGAGAGACACUGGCAUCAGUAGCCAUCGUAGUCUGGGUACUCUUCUGCGUCACGGAACGUGGAAACAUCCGACAGUACCCUUGACAAUUUUCUGGCAGUGUUGCCGGGAUAACAGGAUGAAGCUGAGUAGUACCUACUUGAAGAGGCUUAGGCCGAGUUGGGCGAAUAGGGCAGUGGGAGAUAAAGUGCCCUCCUUCUCCACAAUAGAAACAGAGACAACAAGCCCUCCUUUGGUCUCUUUCUCUAGAUGGCAGUCUUGUUGUAGUGCGGAUGAAGCCGAUCUCCAUGGGUUCCUCCUUGUCCUCUAGAGUGCCAAGUUCCACAUGGGUAACAUUAUGAUGACAAGGCAGGUCCUUGGAGGUAGGUUUAGACUGUAGCGAGAUGGGAUUCUUGUAUUCAUAAAAUAAUUCCCCUUCUCUAGGCAACCGGGUUCUGCAAGAACAUGAAGUAGGCUUGGGAGUUGCUUUCCUUGAUGCAAAGCACUGAGAGUCCAUUGCGGACAUGAACAACUCCCAGGAGUCCAAGACAGUACUUCUCUCCUGCAGCUUCUGGUGUGCCCACGCCUUAAUCCGCCCAGUACACAGGUUAAUAGCGGAGCGGACUCUGAUAAGGUCGGUGGCGUAGGUUCUAGGUUUCAGGGCAAACAGUAGCUCACAAUCCUUCUUGAACAUCGGGAAAGCAGAACGGGAAACCUGUCAGGCAUAAUGACAUAGGGUUCUGGGUAUGUAUGUUCCGGGAUUGGAUGUACUGCUCCUUUAAAUGCCAAUGAACAUCUAUGCAAAUCCAUAACAUUCUGGGACAGGUUGGAGACUUGUUCAGCCAGGGAGGUGAGUAAUUUGUAUAACUCUGCAGACUCCAUAUGGUCAGUUCAUUAUGUCAGGUUCUUACCUGAUGGGGAGUCCGGCUCGCAGAGUUAUACGCUCACCCUUGCAAAGUAGACACAGACCAGGGUGACCAGGUAAGACGCCACCUGAUCUGUGAGUCUGUGCACGGGGGCUUUCCAGGAAUAGUGCUCCAAGUAGCAGUACAGCAGGGAUUAGCAGAAGCGUAGUCAAGGAAAGCCAAAGUCAGGGGAAGCCAGAUAUCAGAGUAGUCCAGGAGGAAAGCCAAGGUCAGAAGCCGGAAUCAGACAGGAAAUACUGGAACGCAGAUAUAGCAAGACAGGAACCAAACAAGGGAACCAGAGUCAAUGAACUGACACUGCCCUCAGGGAGAGGCAGUGUCUUAUACCUGGCUAAUUUGUGAUCAGCCACAGGUGUGCUGAGAUCGUUGGAGCAGCU